ACGUUAGUGCCCUGCCACAUACUAUUAGCUAUACAUCAGACACCAACUUUGUUCUGCAGAUACUUUGUCAAUAAAUAUAUGUGCAUUUGGGGGAACAGAAAUGGGGUGGACAUUUACUCCUUAACAUGAUACAUGAAUGCUUUUGUAAGUUUAGAGUUAAACAGAAACUUCAAAUUCACCUAAUUCAGUGUUUCUUAAACAGUUACCAUCUUCCUCAUUUUUUGCUGUACCAUGAUAGUUAUGGAAUAAUUAAUGUAGUACUCUCAUUGGACUACAACUAUUAUGUGGCAUGCCACCCAUCCUCAGACAGUAUGCAGCCUGCCUAGCUUCUCAGAAACAGCCAACCUACACACCCCUCCACAGACAGAGGAGAACCCGAGGCCAUGGAAGGUGGAGAUCAAGUUCAACCGCCUACUCACCACUCCUCUCCCCCAGGGCCCCCAAAGAGGAGAGUGGCUGUGCCGAGCUGGAGAUUCUGGAGGUCACCGAGGGCACUGGGAGGGAGCCCAAGGAAGUGAACCAGCCGGCUAGGGCCUCGGGAGCCCCCACUGGGAUCUCCGCUCACCUGAGAGGCAGCCAGAAGCAAGCCCUCUGUGUGAGCUCUAACGGACAAAGAGAAACUCGGGCCUCUCGUGACCUUGUUGUCUCCUCGUUCCACAUAUGUAUUUACACGUGUUCUUUUAGACUGCAAGUUACACCUGGAUUCCAGAAUCACCAAGACCUUUUCAUGGUAUGAGCAGAGACACAGGAGAUCUUUCAAAGUUAUUUAAAACUAGAAAUGUCUGCCAUAGGGAAUAAAGCCAGGCAAGUGUCAGAUUCA
rnacentral:lncRNA from 1 species